rnacentral:misc_RNA from 1 species
UUCCUAUAUUUCUCCUCCCUUUUUUUCAGCUAAUCUCGUGUUUUACUUUUGGGUGGUCAUUGACUUCUUUCACUUUAUCGACAGAAUGAGGACAGAACUCUCUGGGAGGCCGCUAGCACGUAUGUGGAGAUGAGCCCUUUCAUGUCAGCGAACAAAAUUAAAAAGCCCAUAUUAAUUGUCCAUGGAGAAGAAGAUAAUAAUCCAGGAACACUAACCAUGCAGUCGG